rnacentral:rRNA from 1 species
UACAGAGGUGGCAAGCGUUGUUCGGAUUUAUUGGGCGUAAAGGGUCCGUAGGCGGUUUGGAAAGUCGGAUGUGAAAUCCCACAGCUUAACUGUGGAACUGCAUUCGAAACUUCCAGACUGGAGUGUGAGAGGGGUAAAGAGAAUUCCUGGUGUAAGGGUGAAAUCUGCAGAGAUCAGGAAGAAUACCAGUCGCGAAGGCGCUUUACUGGCUCACAACUGACGCUGAGGGACGAAAGCUAGGGGAGCAAAC